UCCCAGGUGGCGUCCUGGUCGACCAGGGAGCGGUCUCCGAAGUAGGCCCCGUCGGCGAGGACGCCCAGCACCGCCUCGUCGCCGUAGGGACCGGUACCGAUCUGCUCGACCUUGCCGUGUGCCAGCAGGAACACCCGGUCGGUCCGCGUGCCCGCCUCGGCGAUGACCUCACCGGGUGCGAACUCCCGCUGCGUGCACCGCUGCGCCAGCUCGGUGAGCGCCGCGCCAUCCUCGUACGAGCGCAGUGCCGGCAGCUCCCGCAGCUCGUCCGGGAUCACGGCGACCCGCUCGGCGGUCUGCACGAACGUCACGCGCCCGUCGCCCACCGAGUAGCUGAGCCGCCGGUUCACCCGGUACGUGCCGCCCUGCACCUGCACCCACGGAAGCAUCCGCAGCAGCCACCGGGAGGUGAUCUCCUGCAUCUGCGGAACCGACUUGGUGGUGGUCGCCAGGUUCCGCGCGGCGGCCGUACCGAGACUCUGCUGCGGCGGUGCCU
rnacentral:antisense_RNA from 1 species